rnacentral:misc_RNA from 1 species
CAAUUCUCAACAUAUCGGAUUCUUCGUGACGUCACCGUCGUUUCUUCAGAUUUAUGUCCGACUUUGGUAAGUUGUGUCUUGGGGCAUGAUUUGGCGUGUAUAUAACGUUAGCACUUUGAAAAUAGUCAGAGCAUUCAGACGCUCGUCUAGAGCCAUUUCGAGUCUGUCUAUAUGUUUUUGCAGUUUUGUGGCGCAGCCUUAAAAGCUACUUUUUGUGAUUCUUCGAGGCCAACUGGGUGUUACUUAAAAAACGACUUCUGCCCUUUGCAGUCGACUUGCAAGUACGUCAGCCGCCGACGAUUCGAGUUCCUUUUAAGGCUAGAAUACACUGCAAACGCCAUACAUGGACCUGGGGGCCUUACAAAUGCUGGCUUACUCACUUUUCCAGAAACGAGUGAAAUAGUAACACCCGCACCAUAUUUCUUGCUAAAUUUACGUAUUGAGCAAUGUUUCUUCAAUAUUUAUUUAUUUUGUUUUUAGUAAUUUUGAUUUAAUAAUGUUUGUUCUCAAUUCAGGAGCAUCUGUUCCGUCUUCGGUGUCAUCUGUGAGCUGCGAGAAAAUCCACUAUUUUGGUGCGAAAUGAAAAAAGAUGCAUGCAUCCAGCAGAAUUUCUACAUAUCGAUAUUUAUGUAGAUGCCCAUUCGCCGUAGAGGGCAGGGCCUCUAUGCUUGAGCUUGAGCCCGCUAGAGUUACGCCGUUUGUACUCGUUUGGUUCUCCGGUACCGACUGAGAGCAGACCACUCUCGAGUUGCAAUCUGAACGGUUUUAUCGAAAAUAGGUGUUUUUUCCCCGAAAAACUAGGCUAUUCUUUCUCUUCUCGUAAUAGGUUUUUGUAAAUUGCUGGCGUAAACAUUUUAGGCCGAAGAAAUUAUUGUUGAUACGACCCGUGAACGACGACUUGUGAAUUGUGUAGCACGACUUCACCGUCAUCCCCUUUUUAAAAAAGUUGGCAGAUCUAUAGGUGAAAUAGGAACUUGGAUCGUUUCCUUUGCAAAUUCUCAUCAAAAGCUACCUGGAUAUUUUACCAUUUGUGGUAUUGACUCUACAGCGUUUCAGUUUACAAAGAUAAUUAUGGCUCGAUUGUAUAUCUCGAUUCAGCUACCUUUCCGCAAUCAUUGAUGCGCAUCGUCGCUCAUUGUUGUUUGUAGUAGCUAGUUUGGCCGUCUCAUUGGCGACAAAAAUGAAAAAGAUCUACCGUAUUUUUCAACCGCAACCAUCCCAAAAACAAUGCAGGAGUACUGUUAUGUGUUUGAAGUGGAGCGGCGCAUCUGAGUAGCGGCUACACCCGAUUCCGUCCUGGCUGACAGCUGAUGGGUUGUUUUAAUUUUCGUCCGUCAUUUCAGCUUUUUUGUUUCACAUUUAUUUUUUAAGGCGCUUCUUGAUGAGACGUAAAAUGGGAAACACGGAAGAAGCAGCUGAUCUGGGGCGAAUAGAGAAGCGCUCUCUAGGUGUUGAACUCACUUACAUGAAGGAAGGAAUAUAAGUAGUAGCCAAAGGGAGCCGCAGCGCAUUGAAAGACACGCCCUACAACAGACUACACAAGGAGAAGGCUUUGCGCUUUUGUAGACAAAACAGAUUGACAAUGUAUGAUUAAGAAAAUGAUUUCACAAAGCUGAAAAAUGGAAACGUCGUCAGUGCUAUAAUUUACUAGUUGACCUGUUAACCUAAGAGAAUGAAUGAGUGGUAGAAUAUAAGAGAGGUAAUUAGAGGGAUUAAAGGUGGGAGAUUGAGAGGAUGAGAAGGAGUGUAAUGUUCCACUAUAUUUAACUGAUCAACGUAUUUAAUUGCAAGCAAUCAGACUGCUACAUUGAAAACAGAAAAGUCAGUUAGGUUCGUAACUUUUAAGGAUGUUUUCUGAAGCAAGUCGAGUUAAGUCGAGUCAAGUUAAUCAGCAAUGCAAGCGAAAUUUAACUUACAAAAGCUAUUCAAAUUUUGUGAUCGAUUUUUUUAUUGUUAACUCCUGGUAUUUUAAAUCGAUAAUAGCGCAAAGACGCGGAAAAUAGGAACCGUUCAAGAUAGCUUCCUACGGCGGGGACGAAUACCAGUCAUUUGAGCAAUUGGUUUUUAAAUUUGUCGUUACGUAACAAGAGAAAGAUCUCGUGAGCAAUUACCCUCUUCUUAAUUAUUUUUCUUAUCUAUUUUUGAAUAGCUUGUGUGAUACAACACGGCAUCUAGCGAAUUAAAUGAAAACUAAACAUUUUGCCUUGAGGCAAAGCGAAGAAAACAAGGUGUUUACAAAAUAAAACGUAAAAUUUGUGAAAGCGGUAAAAAGAUCGGUUUUAAUUUGGUUUUAAUUUGUCGAAUUGUCCGUUUUCUUUGCUACAACUAACAGAGACUAACACAUUUCCCGAUCCUUAGGUGAAGACUUGCACAUUUCAAUAGUUAAAAUUGUUUCUUUAAAUUCGAUUUGGGGGUUUGCUCGCUUAUAAAUUCAGCGUUGGUGUCCAAUGUCCGCCGACACACACACACAAAUAUUUUAUACGAAACAAAUUAUGUCUAGCACAGAUGUUUAUUCCUGGAACUUUGUCCUAUUUUGAAUACAAUUAAUUAUUCCGCUUGAAUAAAAGAUUGUUGGAAGUCAUUUUUUUUUUUUAGUUACAGUUACUAACGGAAUACAGCUGUUAUAACGAGACUGGAUAACUCGUAUCCAUUACAUUCUGCGAUACAAAAAGAAGAAAAAAUCUCCGAUUGUUGGCCGCGUUCAGAAAUGCACAAGUGUUUUUUUAAAUACGACAUACAGUGUUGGCGACAGAAGCCUCCCAUACCUGUACGAUUAUUUAACCUAACGAAACUAUCUUGAAUCCAGACGAGAUGUUUUAUUCAUCUAAAAUGUAGAAAGACAUCUAUGUUUCCUUACAUAGGUAUGAGCCGGUAGUGCAGCUAUUUUAAAUAAACGAUAAAAUCAGUUUGAAAAUGUCCGAGCUUGGAGUCAAGGUCAACUUCUUUGGCUGAAUUCCCAGCGAAAGCGGAUAGACGCGCAUAGAGCGUGCUACAUAGUACUAUAUAUGGUAUUUGCCAAGUGGCUCAAACCGUGUCUGUUCUUAUAAGGUGUGAUGGCGCCUCUCCUUUCCUUCGAUGUUGCUUGAUGCGCGUGCAAUAUUGGACCAGCAGA